AAAAAAUAAGUUAUACCUAGAAACAGAACUUUGAUAUUUUGAUGCAGAUGAGUGGAGGUGACAAUACCACUCCACCCGAACCACAGCCGGUGACUCAGCAGUUACCUAUUAACUCUUUCUUUCCGCCGUGGAGCCGUUCCCCGUCGUCAAUCCUUCAUCAUCGACUAGGAUCAGUGUGCCUUUCUCCAUCGACUACUUUGAGCGUGAAGAGAAGAACUGAAGGCGAAAGCAUUGAAACUUUAAGCAUACACUACCAGAGUGUUUCAAUGGAAAACGAUCUCAAUGACUUCUUGAACAUACCUCUUCCUUUUCUGUUCUCUUUUUCUUUUCUUUUUUACUUAUUAAAAAAUCCCAAC
rnacentral:lncRNA from 1 species